rnacentral:rRNA from 1 species
AAUGAACGCUGGCGGCAGGCCUAAAACAUGCAAGUCGAACGCCCUAGCAAUAGGGAGUGGCGCACGGGUGAGUAACAUGUGGGAAUAUGCCUUUUGGUACGGAACAACGUUUGGAAACGAACGCUAAUACCGCAUGGUCCCUCCGGGGCAAAGAUUUAUCGCCAAAAGAUUAGCCCGCACUAGAUUAGCUAGUUGGUAAGGUAAUGGCUUACCAAGGCGACGAUCUAUAGCUGUUCUGAGAGGAAGAUCAGCCACACUGGGACUGAGACACGGCCCAGACUCCUACGGGAGGCAGCAGUUAGGAAUAUUGGACAAUGGGCGCAAGCCUGAUCCAGCCAUGCCGCGUGAGUGAUGAAGGCCUUCGGGUUGUAAAGCUCUUUAGCCGACGAAUAUAAUGACUGUAGUCGGAGAAUAAGCCCCGGCUAACUUCGUGCCAGCAGCCGCAGUAACAC